CCUUGUUCCAUGUUGCCAGCACUCCCUUUGGGGUGGUGGGGACUCAUGGGACACUGCCGGGGUCAACUCGGAGGAAGGUGGGGAUGACGUCAAGUCAUCAUGCCCCUUAUGUCUUGGGCUGCAAACAUGCUACAAUGGCCGGUACAGAGGGUUGCGAUACCGUGAGGUGGAGCGAAUCCCUAAAAGCCGGUCUCAGUUCGGAUUGGGGUCUGCAACUCGACCCCAUGAAGUCGGAGUCGCUAGUAAUCGCACAUCACCAACGCUGCGGUGAAUACGUUCCCGGGCCUUGUACACACCGCCCGUCACGUCACGAAAGUCGGCGACACCCGAAGCCCGUGGCCCAACCACUUGUGGGGGGAGCGGUCCAAGGUGGGGCUGGCGAUUGGGAC
rnacentral:rRNA from 1 species